rnacentral:rRNA from 1 species
UCCAAGGUUUCCAGGGUAAAGCUGAUCUGCCCUGGGUAAGUCGGGGCCUAAGGCGAGGCAGAAAUGCGUAGUCGAUGGACAGCAGGUUGAGAUUCCUGCACCCGUAAUGAACAGAACUGUAGUGACACGGAAGGUAAGACAGAGCCGGGAAUGAGAAAACCGGUGCAAGCACAAUAGAUGUGUGGGAGGAAAAUCCCCCGCAUAAGUCAAAGGUGUGAUGCGGACCGAAAAAGAGUAGGGAAGCUGUUAAGCAAGCCGUCAAGAAAAGCUGCUAUUGUUUCAUUAUGGCCCGUACCGUAAACCGACACAGGUGGAUGGGGAGAGAAUCCUAAGGCCGGCGGAAGAAGUAUUGUUAAGGAACUCGGCAAAAUGACCCCGUAACUUCGGGAGAAGGGGUGCCUGCGAGAGCAGGCCGCAGAGAAGAGGCCCAAGCAACUGUUUAGCAAAAACACAGGUCUAUGCAAAACCGAAAGGUGAGGUAUAUGGGCUGACGCCUGCCCGGUGCUGGAAGGUUAAGGGGAGUGGUCAGGAAACGAAGCCACGAACUUAAGCCCCAGUAAACGGCGGCCGUAACAAUAACGGUCCUAAGGUAGCGAAAUUCCUUGUCGGGUAAGUUCCGACCCGCACGAAAGGCGUAAUGAUUUGGGCGCUGUCUCGACAAUACAUCCGGUGAAAUUGAAGUGCCAGUGAAGAUGCUGGCUACCUGCGCCAGGACGGAAAGACCCCAUGGAGCUUUACUCCAGCUUGAUACUGGGACCCGGUAUUGCAUGUACAGGAUAGGUGGGAGGCUAGGAAAUGUGGACGCCAGUCUGCAUGGAGCCGCUGUUGGGAUACCACCCUUGUGGUGCUGGGUUUCUAACCAGAGGCCGUGAACCGGUCUGGGGACAAUGUCAGGUGGGGAGUUUGACUGGGGCGGUCGCCUCCGAAAGGGUAUCGGAGGCGCCCAAAGGUUCCCUCAGAAUGGUUGGAAACCAUUCGAAGAGUGCAAAGGCAGAAGGGAGCUUGACUGCGACACCGACGGGUGGAGCAGGUACGAAGGUAGGGCUUAGUGAUCCGGUGGAAUUUAAGUGGGAAUGCCAUCGCUCAACGGAUAAAAGCUACCCUGGGAUAACAGGCUGAUCACUCCCAAGAGUUCACAUCGUCGGAGUGGUCUGGCACCUCGAUGUCGGCUCAUCGCAUCCUGGGGCUGAAGUCGGUCCCAAGGGUUGGGCUGUUCGCCCAUUAAAGCGGUACGCGAGCUGGGUUCAGAACGUCGUGAGACAGUUCGGUCCCUAUCCGGCGUGGGCGUAGGAUAUCUGAGAGGAGCUGUCCUUAGUACGAGAGGACCGGGAUGGACUGACCUCUGGUGUACCGGUUGGCGAUCAACGCCACGGCCGGGUAGCCAUGUCGGGACGGGAUAAACGCUGAAGGCAUCUAAGCGUGAAGCCCCCCUCAAGAUGAGAUAUCCCAUCGUAAGAGUAAGACCCCUUGAAGACGACGAGGUUGAUAGGGCAGGGGUGGAAGUGCUGUAAGGCAUGGAGCUGACUGCUACUAAUCGGUCGAGGGCUUGACC